AGAGUUUGAUCCUGGCUCAGGAUGAACGCUAGCUACAGGCUUAACACAUGCAAGUCGAGGGGCAGCAUGUUGGUUGCUUGCAACCAACGAUGGCGACCGGCGCACGGGUGAGUAACGCGUAUCCAACCUACCCUUGUCCAUCGGAUAACCCGUCGAAAGGCGGCCUAACACGAUAUGCGGUUCACAGCAGGCAUCUAACGUGAACGAAUGUAAAGGAGAAGGAUGGGGAUGCGUCUGAUUAGCUUGUUGGCGGGUAACGGCCACCAAGGCUACGAUCGAGUAGGGGUUCUGAGAGGAAGGUCCCCCANAUUGGAACUGAGACACGGUCCAAACUCCGUACGGGAGCA
rnacentral:rRNA from 1 species